UACUAUGUCACCUGAAUUAAACUUCAACCUCAAAACAGACCAGAUUUAUUUUUAGUUACUCUUGGUGAGUUUGUCCACCCAAUAGAAAAGAAUUAAUUUUUCCAUCUUCCCUCAAAAGUCACCAUGUUACUGUGUUUGAGGCAAGUGUAAUUGGAAUUGCAGUACAAGAAUGUAGUGGAUUUGGGCUGAUUCUUUCAGCAGGGAAAUUUGUCUCUGCUUUUGUGGUUGGGUUCGUGGUGAUUCAGGCGGCAACUUCUGCCGUUGAUGAUGUGAUAUUUUGUUUAACUGCUAAGUUGAUUCUUUUUUAUGUCUACUCAGGUGUUGAGAUUUUCCUCUGGGAUGCUAUUCAUUUUAUUGAGUUUUAUCUCUUCUUAGUUGGAUUUGUGUUUGGUUAGAAGUGAUGAAGUCCAUAAAGGGACUGUUGAGUUAGAUUCUAAAAAAAGGCAAAAUUAAGGGAACUGUAGAAGAUGGUAAAAGGCAAAGUUAUUUUCCCUUUUCUUGGAAGACAUGGAAGAAGAUGCGCCGCUGCCACGCCCAGAGGGGUUUGUAUUUGCCUUCUUGGACCUGGGUAGAACUAUAACGGGAAAGAUGGUUUACUUGUUAGUUGGGUCGGAUGUGGGUAAAGUUAUUUCCCCUUCUCCUGGAAACCAUUGAAGAAGACGCGCCGCCGCCACGCUACCAUUAUAUGGGUUUGUUUUUGAUUUCUUGGACUUGGGUAUAACAAUAACGGGAAAGGUGGGUUACUUGUUAGUUAGAUCCAGUGCCGGCAAAGUUAUUUCCAUUUUCUUGGAAAUCAACUCAUGGAAAAAAGAUGCGCCGUCGCUGCCGCCGCCGCCGCCGCCGUUAAAGGUAGUAAAGACGUAGUCUAAAUACUUGAAGUUCGAAGCUGAGAAAUGAUCCGUCGUGUAUGAGUAUCCAUUGCUGGAGACGAGAAUAUUAAGUAGAGAUGGAGAAGAUAGCAAAGAAGAGAGCAGAAUCGGAGCAACGCAAAGAGUUUCGUCAAGAAUUCAAAUACAGAGUAAUUUUUGGACGGAGACAGAUUUGCUGCUGCUAAAAAUACUGGGGCAUGCAGAG